AUUGAACGCUGGCGGCAGGCUUAACACAUGCAAGUCGAGCGGGGGAAGGUAGCUUGCUACCGGACCUAGCGGCGGACGGGUGAGUAAUGCUUAGGAAUCUGCCUAUUAGUGGGGGACAACAUCUCGAAAGGGAUGCUAAUACCGCAUACGUCCUACGGGAGAAAGCAGGGGAUCUUCGGACCUUGCGCUAAUAGAUGAGCCUAAGUCGGAUUAGCUAGUUGGUGGGGUAAAGGCCUACCAAGGCGACGAUCUGUAGCGGGUCUGAGAGGAUGAUCCGCCACACUGGGACUGAGACACGGCCCAGACUCCUACGGGAGGCAGCAGUGGGGAAUAUUGGACAAUGGGCGCAAGCCUGACCCAGCCAUGCCGCGUGUGUGAAGAAGGCCUUAUGGUUGUAAAGCACUUUAAGCGAGGAGGAGGCUACUUUAGAUAAUACCUAGAGAUAGUGGACGUUACUCGCAGAAUAAGCACCGGCUAACUCUGUGCCAGCAGCCGCAGUAAGAC
rnacentral:rRNA from 1 species